CCUACGGGAGGCAGCAGUAGGGAAUUUUGCACAAUGGGGGAAAGCCUGAUGCAGCAACGCCGCGUGAUCGAUGAAGGCCUUCGGGUUGUAAAGAUCUGUCAGUGGGGACGAAACUUGACGGUACCCACAGAGGAAGCACCGGCUAACACCGUGCCAGCAGCCGCGGUAAUACGGGGGGUGCAAGCGUUGUCCGGACUAAUUGGGCGUAAAGGGUUCGAAGGGGGCACGUUAAGGCUGGUGUUAAAGGCGGGGGCUCAACUUCCGUAGUGCACUGGAUACUGGCUAGCUUGAGUGCGGUAGAGGUAAAGGGAAUUCCUGGUGUAGCGGUGAAAUGCGUAGAUAUCAGGAAGAACACCGGUGGCGAAAGCGGCUUACUGGGCCGCAACUGACGCUGAGGGACGAAAGCCUGGGUAGCAAACGGGAUUAGAUACCCGGGUAGUC
rnacentral:rRNA from 1 species